AUGAAAGUGGAAAGGGAUAAAAGGCAUCAAAAGAAAGGCAAAUGGUCCUCCCCUCCUCCCCUGAAGUCCUCCUCAUGCAAAACAAAGGUUCACAGACUAGAAAAAAUAUUUUCCCACUGUCUGUUUUUUCUUUGCUGCCCUUUAGGUUCUGGGUGUACUCCUUGCGUAGCCUUCCUGAUGUUGUCGGCUACAGAGAUCAACAGCCAAGGACAGCUUCUUCUCCCCAGAAGAACCACCUUCUGGAGCAGGAGUCUCGUGCUGAACUCUCCUUGGCACUGCACGGUAAGAGAGUUAAAAAAGAGGGGAGAGAGGGAAAUGGUCAGUGGUAACACAAUGAAAGCACUGAAAGGGAGGUAAAUUCAAAAAUUCAGAAACUAUACUCCCUCAGAUUUCACUAGAUUCUUUGUCUUUGUUUGGUAGAAUUAAGUUUUCUUCAAAAACCCAAAACAAACAAACAAAAAAAACCUGGUGAAACCGUGCCCUGGUGGCAUGUGACUUGAUCCAGUUAUUGAGAAACCCUGGGAAGAGGAGGGGGACUUCUGCAAAGCACGUUAAUUUGUGUCUCCUAGCAUGGCACGGUUGACUGGUUGGCUUUUAUUUGGCAUGGGGCGUUAGCUCCUCAGCAGACAGUUUGGCAUUUCAAGCCUGGGGGAAUUUGGAGAGGUGCCUAACAACCACAGAAGGAGCAUGAGUGGCUUUGCAAGCCUCGGGCCAUCUCUGCAGCUAGCAUAAGUCCUCUAAUAGGGACUUUCUCCUGUUCUCUUUCUGUGUGGUUGGCAGGAAUGAACAGGACCGUCUGUUUUAGGAGGGACUUAGAAAUGCUUUGCCUAAUUUUCCUGCAGCUGUAAUUUUUUGCAGAGAGUCCUUUCCCUGUCCGUUUAUACGAUGCUCUAUUUCUUUACAUUAGGCUCCUCAGCGCAAAGACGUGCCUUUCACAAUCGUAGCCUGAGCCAGGAUCUUCCAGAAACUGCUGCGUUUUGUACGUUAUAUGAGGCUGUGACAGAACCAAUUCAUAGGUCAAAGAUGACAGGAAACAAUAAAAUGCAGAGCUCUGAGACUUGGCA
rnacentral:lncRNA from 1 species